rnacentral:rRNA from 1 species
GUAGGUGGCAAGCGUUGUCCGGAAUUAUUGGGCGUAAAGCGCGCGCAGGCGGUUCUUUAAGUCUGAUGUGAAAGCCCACGGCUCAACCGUGGAGGGUCAUUGGAAACUGGAGAACUUGAGUACAUAAGAGGAAAGCGGAAUUCCACGUGUAGCGGUGAAAUGCGUAGAGAUGUGGAGGAACACCAGUGGCGAAGGCGGCUUUCUGGUCUGUAACUGACGCUGAGGCGCGAAAGCGUGGGGAGCAAACAGGGAUUAGAUACCCUGGUAGUCCACGCCGUAAACGGUGAGUGCUAAGUGUUAGGGGGUUUCCCGCCCCUUAGUGCUGCAGCUAACGCAUUAAGCACUCCGCCUGGGGGAGUACGGCCGCAAGGCUG